UUCUGAUGCAGAACAAGAAAAACAAAAUCAAAGGAAAUAUGAGGAAGAGGAGUUACCUUCAAAUUAAGGAGUUUUAUGCCAACUGACACAACUUGGUCAAUCGAAGUUGCUGGUGAUUUGGAGAAGAGUGAUGGAGGGGCUAAGAUUCAGUCCGAUGAAGGAUGGUUUAUGAUAUUGGUUGAAUUUGUGGUACAUCAUUGGUGUUUUCUAGGUCCAGAUUAUUUUGGAAAGAGUCAAAAAGACGCUUUGUUUUCCAAAAUUAAACAUGUAUUGUCUAAUAAUUGUGUUAGCUUUGUUGUGUAAAAAAAAAUCUGGGUAAUUGUUUCUUUUGUCAAAAAUGAGUAUUUAUUUAUUUUUAUUUAGAAUGGUCACUGUAUUUAUAUAAUUUGUAAACUGCAUCAUUGAAAUCAUGUGUUUUAAAUUGUAUUAAUAUUGUUGUUUCCGACAUAUAAAUACAUGUAGCUAUAUAAUGGCUUCUUAUUUAGAUUAUUUUUUCUUAACAAUUUUGUAUGUAAUUACAUUUUAAAUUGUAUUGAUAUUGUUGUUAAAUUUAUUCUUUUUAAAUAAGAUAGAUUGAUAGAAGACCUGUGUAUGUGUGAUAAAAGAGGUGAUAAAUUACUAAGAAGUGAAAUUAUAUUUAUAUUUACGAUGAAACUAAUAUUUACAAUGAAAAUGUUUAAAUAAAUUAUUUCAUAAAUAUAGAACAUAAUUAUCACACCAUAUAAAUAUAUAUAUUUGGAUUAACAUAGACGUAAAAGAUCAAACUAUGACUGGGUAAGAAAUCUGAAUUCAAAGAAUCAAUUGAAUCUGAUCCGAAAUAUAAUAUUGAAUCAAAACCAAAAUUGGUUAAAUAUUCAAAUGGAUCCAAAAUUUAAGUAUUUAGAUAACUGAAACCAAAUCCGACUCAAACCUAAGUAUUUUGGGUAUGUAAAUUUAUCCGAAAUAUAUUUAUAUACUUAAAUAUAUUAAUUAUUUUAGAUUUAAUAUCUUAAAUAUCUAAAAUGUAUAAGAUUUUUUUUAUAACGGCUUAUAAGAUAUUUUGAAGUUAUCCAAAAUAUUUGAAAAUAUUUAAAAUAGUUAAAAGUAAAUGUCUAAAAUAGCUAAACAAUUUU